AGAGUAUCCCACGAUGAUCUGCCACUUAAAAUAACUUUUGUUCUAUUUAAUAUUUUUGACCCUUCCCUUAAAAAAUAAAUAUUCAUAUAUAAAUUGUAGCGCAGAGGCAUGUUAAUUAUUUCAAAAACUAUUUAAUGAAUAGAACAAAGUUAUUUCAAGUGGCAGAUCAUCGCGGGAUACCCUGUAAUCUGU